UACGGAGGGUGCGAGCGUUGUCCGGAAUCACUGGGCGUAAAGGGCGCGUAGGUGGCCUGGGGAAGUCUGCGGGGAAAGCCCGGCGCUCAACGCCGGGUCGGCCGUGGAUACUCUCGGGCUUGAGCUUACUAGAGGCAGAUGGAAUUCCGGGUGUAGCGGUGGAAUGCGUAGAGAUCCGGAAGAACACCGGUGGCGAAGGCGGCGACCUGGGUCGAUACUGACGCUGGAGCGCGAAAGCGUGGGGAGCAAACAGG
rnacentral:rRNA from 1 species